AAGUCGGGUUACGGUGCCCAACUGCGCGCUAACCUAGAACCCACAAAGGGUGUUGGUCGAUUAAGACAGCAGGACGGUGGUCAUGGAAGUCGAAAUCCGCUAAGGAGUGUGUAACAACUCACCUGCCAAAUCAACUAGCCCCGAAAAUGGAUGGCGCUGAAGCGCGCGACCCACACCCGGCCAUCUGGGCGAGCGCCAUGCCCCGAUG
rnacentral:rRNA from 16 species